AUACGUAGGUGACAAGCGUUAUCCGGAUUUACUGGGCGUAAAGGGCGUGUAGGCGGUCUUGCAAGUCAGAAGUGAAAUUCCUGAGCUCAACUCGGGCGCUGCUUCCGAAACUGCAGGACCUGAGUGCUGGAGGGGAUAGCGGAAUUCCUAGUGGAGCGGUAAAAUGCGCAGAUAUUAGGAAGAACACCGGUGGCGAAGGCGGCUAUCUGGACUGUAACUGACGCUGAGGCGCGAAAGUGUGGGGAGCAAACAGGAUUAGAUACCCUGGUAGUCCACACUGUAAACGAUGAAUGCUAGGUGUAGGGGGUAUCGACCCCUUCUGUGCCGCAGUCAACACAAUAAGCAUUCCGCCUGGGGAGUACGGCCGCAAGGUUGAAACUCAAAGGAAUUGACGGGG
rnacentral:rRNA from 1 species